UGAGUGGAACUAGCAGUGAUGGUACCCUGUUGUUCUUGUCUUAGAGCCUUGUGUAAGUGCCCCCCACAGAUACCCACAGCUCCUCCAUCUCAGACAAGAGCAGACCCUGUCCUGACUGGGGCUGCUGCCCACUGCUCCAAAGACUCUUUGUAUGACAUCCUGUACAUUCACUAAUAAUAAAUACAUUUUUCCUACCACUUUCUCCAAAGCUCAGAGCCAAAUUGGAUCAUAGGCACACUGAGUUCUUGCAAUACCUCUUCCCAUGGUAUUUAUAUGUCAUUAAUGAUAGUAAUAGAUUUUGAAAUCAUAGAAAAUUCAGGGAGUUAGAAAGAAAGGUAGGCUUGGUAGGCCCUGGGAAAGUGCUAAAGGUAGGCCCUGGGAAAUGUUAGGCCUUGUGCUUGCUAGAUCAUGUGAAACUGCACCUGUGUAGUCAGUAGAUGAUAAAUGAUACAAUUGUUAGAUGUGAUUAGAUAUAAUUAUUGUUUAAAGAAUCAUGAGAAACUAUGUUAGGGGUUUGAGGGGGAUCACAAGAAAUCCAUGCUUGGAUGAAAUCAAUAGAACAAUGUAAGUUUAAUAAUUAAUAUGUAAGUUAUAUAAUGAUAGAGUAUAAAAUAUGUUCAGCUCAAAACCAGGUUGGGUCAGAUUUGGAUCUGUGUACCCCUGACACCAAGAGCUCUUUAAUAAAAGCACCUACAUAUAACCAUUCCGUGAUUAUGUGUUCCUGAACGCUAACAUUAAGAAUCUCUGGGUUCUUACUGCUGCCUUUUCUAUGCACAGAAGCCCUGAUUUUGGAAUCACCAUGUGCUGGUUGAAAUUUCUGCAACAGUCUCUACCUCCCAUAUUGGGCUUGUUCUACCUCCUGGAGCUCUCCUACUGCGAACUGGUGGCCACCCCGCCCUUUGAUGUGAAGAGGAAGGUGAGUGACAGCAGCACAACAACCACCAGAUGGUUCAGUCAGCCCCCAUCAUGAGGCUAUGCUCCCAUUCUGCUGUCAGCUCCCUAGGGGUACAAAGGAGAAGGCACAAGUGCUGCUAUGAAGACCCUUUUUCAUGUCAACCCUUCAGCUCUUAAAUCCCACCACUGUACAUUGCACUGAGCCCUGCUCAUGUGUGGUAUGGCCUUCCUGUCUGCUAGGCUGGGGAAGUGCGGGGGGCUGGGGUUUCCAUGGCUUGUAAAGAUAUAGGCACCAGGUGAACAAAGCAUCACAGCCUUGCCCAGCUCUCAGGGGCUGCCUUGCACCAGAGGUCUGUGCCCUCCUGAUGGGACCAACCUGGCCUGCCCUGAUGAAGGUCCUGUAAAAUUAUGUGUGACUUUUGCAGCACAGGCAAUUGAAGCUCCUCCAUUAUAGCCCAUGAGUAGGACCUGACCCAGGCCAAGGGCAAUUUACUGUCAUUACAAAAGGCCUUCAAUACACAGAGGAAGCAUCUGUAAGAAAAUAUGGUGCAUUGAGAGACCUAUUUUGGAAGGGCAGAUUGAUUAGCGGGAAUUUAUAAAAAUCUGUCUUCCAGCAUUUUUGCACCAAGGUAUUGCACAGAUAUUUAUCUGGGUUUCUAUAAACUGGGCAUAAAGGACAAAAUUCUCUUGAGAUUGUGCAGGACCUCAGAGACCUAUAAUGUAAUGGGGAGCCCUGAUGAUUUGUGCAGACAGCAGCAUGCAGGCACAGAUGCUGCCGGAGCAAGGUAAGACUGACAAUCUCUCUUCUCAUGCCAGGACUUUAAGGAACAGAUUAUCCACCACAUUGUGACCAUCACUCUGAUCUUUGUCUCCUACUGUGCCAGUAUGAUAUGGUUAGGGAUGAUAAUCAUGCUGGUGCAUGAUGCCUCUGAUUAUAUUUUAGAUGUGCAUUACCCUCACCUGGAAAUCAUGGAAUCACAGAAUGGUUUGACUAAGAAAGGAUAUUAAAGCCCAUCUCGUUCCAACCCCUCUAGUGGAAUACUUUCCACUAGAUCAGAUUUCUCCGAGACCCAUUC
rnacentral:lncRNA from 1 species